CUUAAACUCCUGACCUCAAAUGAUCCACCCACCUCGGCCUCCCAGAGUAUUGGGAUUAUAGGCAUAAGCCACCGUGCCCGGCCAAGGCUAUGUAGCUCUUUUCUUAGGCCACGUAGCUCACUCUUUUCUUAGGCUGUGUAGUUCACUUUCCCAGUGCAAACUUUGGGAAAAGCUCUGUGCCACAGGCUCCAUUCCUGUUUGCCACAUCACAAAUACCAAUCAUUGCUCUAAGGAGUGGAUGAUUUGAUGAGAAUAUUCAGUUCUUACACCACUACUAGAGGAGGAACACUGACUGCCUUGUCGUGGAUGUGGUCUGGCAGUUUCUGUAGGUAGGAGUGGUGGAUUGUCUCCAAAUGUGGCCACCGACAGUGCCUCCCAUUCCUGUGUGUGCAUGCUGCUUCUCCCACUAGAAGGUGUCUUUUACUUUCCUUCUCUUUGCAUCUGGAACUUGUUUUGACCAGUUGGACCUAGCAGAAGUGGGGCCCUGUGACUUCCAGGCCUUAUGAAAUCUUGUAGCAUUGUUUUUCCCUUUUAGAGCCAGCUGUGAUGUAAAGAAGUUUGUGCUGCAUGAGAGAGAUAGCACCUGAAGAAAAUGAGGCCCUGGAGGAUGAGAGACUCUAAAGGAAAAGGGAAGGGCCUGCUGUCUUCCAGCCACGCCAGCCCCCAACUGAGAAGCUGGGUGAAGCCAUCUUGCAUCUUUAGCCCCAGUCAAGUUACCUCAGCAAAGACUAGCUGACCCUGCCAAGCCCUGCCCAAGUUACAGAAUCAUGAGCAAAUAAAUGGCUGUUUCUGUUUUAAGCUUUUAAAUUUUGGGGGUGGUUUAUGUGUCAAUAAUAACUGAAACAGAUAAUAUAUACAGAAUAAACUUUAGUUUUAAUAAUCUAAGUAAAAGCCCACUAAUUCAUUAUGCAGAAAAAAAUGAUUUUUUUGAGACGGGGUCUCGCUCUGUUGCCAGGCUGGAGUGCUGUGGCACAACCAUAGCUCACUGCAGCCUCCACCUCCCUGGUUCAAGCGAUCUUCCCACCUCAGCCUCCCGAGUAGUUGAGACCACAGGUAUGUGCCACAACACCUGACUAAUUUUGUAAAUUUUUUGUAGAGAUGGGGUCCUGCCAUAUUGCUGAGGCUGGUCUCUAACUUCUGGGCUCAAGCCAUCCUCCUGCCUCAGCCUCCCAAAGUAUUAGGAUUACAGUGCCCUUGGUGUGGUGGAAGCAAGGUGCCAUGUGAUAAGUAAGCCUCCAGAGAGGCCUGCAUGGCAGGAUCCAAUGUCUUUAGCCAACAGCAUCUGGGAACCUGAGACCUGCCAACACCCUUGUGAGUGAGCCUGGAAGUGGACCUCCUGCUCUUGAACCUUGAGGUGACUAUAGUGCUGGCUGACACCUUGACUGCAGUCCCUGAGCUGGGGGGCCCAGCUGAUCUACUCCCAGAAUCCCCCCUACUAAAACAGUGAUAUAAUAAAUGCUUAUUGUUUCAAGCUGGUAACUUUUGGAAUGCAUUCACUGAAAAAAAUUAGAAUAUCAAACUAUAAACCGUUUACUUAGUCAACUUUUUGGGGAACUAAUAUGGCCAUAAAUAUCAAACCUCCUACAAUUUUGCACAUUCUUUGACUUUGUAGUUCUACAUCUAUAAACUUCUCUUAAGGGAAAUCAUGGAUGCCAACAAAGAAAUAGUUACAAAAAUGUUCAGCAGAGGAGCACUAUUUAUAAUGGCAAAUUGGUGGUGAUCCAUAUAUCCAAAGAUGGGAUUGAGUGACUAAAUCAUGGAAUCACCUCUAAUAGAACAGGAUGGGAUUCAUUAGUGAGUUUUAAAAACAGUAAAGGGAUUUGCCACUGGCAUUUGAAAAGACAA
rnacentral:lncRNA from 1 species